GAGGACGUAGCUGAAACGGUAUAGCACUUGCUUUGCAUGCAAGAGGUACGGGGAUUGAUACACCGCAUUUCCA
rfam:Nelumbo nucifera unplaced genomic scaffold scaffold00043, whole genome shotgun sequence